UAGGGAAUCUUCGGCAAUGGGGGCAACCCUGACCGAGCAACGCCGCGUGAGUGAAGAAGGUUUUCGGAUCGUAAAGCUCUGUUGUAAGUCAAGAACGAGUGUGAGAGUGGAAAAUUCACACUGUGACGGUAGCUUACCAGAAAGGGACGGCUAACUACGUGCCAGCAGCCGCGGUAAUACGUAGGUCCCGAGCGUUGUCCGGAUUUAUUGGGCGUAAAGCGAGCGCAGGCGGUUUGAUAAGUCUGAAGUUAAAGGCUGUGGCUCAACCAUAGUUCGCUUUGGAAACUGUCAAACUUGAGUGCAGAAGGGGAGAGUGGAAUUCCAUGUGUAGCGGUGAAAUGCGUAGAUAUAUGGAGGAACACCGGUGGCGAAAGCGGCUCUCUGGCCUGUAACUGACGCUGAGGCUCGAAAGCGUGGGGAGCGAACAGGAUUAGAUACCCUGGUAGUCCACGCCGUAAACGAUGAGUGCUAGGUGUUGGAUCCUUUCCGGGAUUCAGUGCCGCAGCUAACGCAUUAAGCACUCCGCCUGGGGAGUACGACCGCAAGGUUG
rnacentral:rRNA from 1 species